UACAUGGGGUGCAAACGUUGCUCGGAAUUAUUGGGCGUAAAGCGCACGUAGGCGGUUCGUUAAGUCGGAUGUGAAAGCCCUCGGCUCAACUGAGGAAGUGCACCCGAAACUGGCGAGCUUGAGUACGAAAGAGGAUCGCGGAAUUCCCGGUGUAGAGGUGAAAUUCGUAGAUAUCAGGAGGAACACCGAUGGCGAAGGCAGGUCUCUGGGCAUUAACUGACGCUGAGGAGCGAAAGCAUGGGGGAGCGAACAGG
rnacentral:rRNA from 1 species